UACGAAGGGUGCAAGCGUUACUCGGAAUUACUGGGCGUAAAGCGUGCGUAGGUGGUUCGUUAAGUCUGAUGUGAAAGCCCUGGGCUCAACCUGGGAAUGGCAUUGGAAACUGGCGACCUAGAGUGCGGUAGAGGGUAGUGGAAUUCCCGGUGUAGCAGUGAAAUGCGUAGAGAUCGGGAGGAACAUCCGUGGCGAAGGCGACUCGCUGGACUGAUACUGACGCUGAGGUGCGAAAGCGUGGGGAGCAAACAGG
rnacentral:rRNA from 1 species